rnacentral:rRNA from 1 species
UACGUAGGGUGCAAGCGUUGUCCGGAUUUAUUGGGUUUAAAGGGUGCGUAGGUGGCUGAUUAGGUCAUGGGUGAAAGCCCGCAGCUCAACUGUGGAAUUGCCUGUGAUACUGAUUAGCUUGAGUGCGGUCGGGGCAGCUGGAAUUGGUGGUGUAGCGGUGAAAUGCAUAGAUACCACCAGGAACACCGAUUGCGAAGGCAGGUUGCUAAGCCGUAACUGACACUGAGGCACGAAAGCGUGGGGAGCAAACAGG